rnacentral:rRNA from 1 species
UACGUAGGCGGUUUAUUAAGUCAGAUGUGAAAGCCCCGGGCUUAACCUGGGAACUGCAUUUGAUACUGGUAGACUAGAGUAUGGUAGAGGGGGGUAGAAUUCCUAGUGUAGCGGUGAAAUGCGUAGAUAUUAGGAGGAAUACCAGUGGCGAAGGCGGCCCCCUGGACCAAUACUGACGCUGAGGUACGAAAGCGUGGGUAGCGAACA